GAGUGGUUCAAAGCUCCUGCACUAUGGAGGGAAAGGAUGUUAAAGUUCACACUUUCUGAAAAUGAAAAUGCAGCACAGAGAAGCCCCUGAAUGAAUGGGGAUGCACGGAAGAAAAUAAGAAGUACCAAAGAGGAAGCCACUAAAGGUUUCUCUAUUAAAGGAAAAGAAUCCACAACCACUUCAGCAGUUGCUUUCUAGCCUAUGCCAAUGAGAAGAAGACAAGUAUUCACUGGAGCCAUUUCAAACAGAAAAGAUCAUAUUGCAUUCUGAAGAGUUGCUGAGUUGGGUACUAUUUCUUUAAAGGACUCUACAGCAGUGAGAACGGAGUAAGUUGCAUAAAAUUGAGUUGUUCGCAGCAUAGGUCUGAGUUGAGGCAGAUCAUCUGCAGAAGGAGCUAGCAGAAAAAUAACCUUCAAGAAAAUGCAGGAGCCAGGAAAAGUCAGAACUGCAAGUUACAAGUCAUCUGUAACAUCAGACUAGAUAUUCUGAAGCUGUAUUAUUCCCCAGGCAGGUGAUACGUAGCUGUUCUAUCAUAUAGCAGUUUGUUUUGGGCCCGUAUCCUGGGAAUUUAUUCUUCAAAGCAGUACUUGUUGAAGGGAGAUCCUCUGCUUGCUUGCCUACUGCAGGUAAUAUGAGUAGAGAUAGGCCCCAGGUUAGCUGUGUUGGUACAAAAGGGCCAGAGA